ACACAUGCAAGUCGAGGGGCAGCAUGAGGAGUCAGCAAUGACACCUUGAUGGCGACCGGCGCAAGGGUGCGUAACGCGUGAGCAACCUGCCCGUCACGGGGGGAUAACCGGUGGAAACGCCGACUAAUAUCCCAUGGUUUCCGUUGGGGGCAUCCCCGGCGGAAUAAAGGCUUCGGCCGGUGACGGAUGGGCUCGCGUGACAUUAGGCAGUAGGCGGGGUAACGGUCCACCUAACCUACGAUGUCUAGGGGUUCUGAGAGGAAGGUCCCCCACACUGGAACUGAGACACGGUCCAGACUCCUACGGGAGGCAGCAGUGAGGAAUAUUGGUCAAUGGGCGGAAGCCUGAACCAGCCAUGCCGCGUGACGGAAUACGGCCCUAUGGGUCUUAAACGUCUUUGGUCCCGGAGCAAUAAGAGCCACGCGUGGCUCGAUGAGAGUACGGGAAGAACAAGCAUCGGCUAACUCCGUGCCAGCAGCCGCGGUAAUACGGGGGAUGCGAGCGUUAUCCGGAUUUAUUGGGUUUAAAGGGUGCGUAGGCGGGGUGGUAAGUCAGCCGUGAAAUGUCCACGCUCAACGUGGAACGUGCGUUUGAUACUGCCGUCCUGGAAUGCGGAUGCCGUGGGAGGAAUGUGUGGUGUAGCGGUGAAAUGCAUAGAUAUCACACAGAACACCGAUUGCGAAGGCAUCUCACGAAUCCGCAAUUGACGCUGAGGCACGAAAGCGCGGGUAUCGAACAGGAUUAGAUACCCUGGUAGUCCGCGCUGUAAACGAUGAUGGCUAACCGCCGGCGACACACUGUCGGUGGCCAAGCGAAAGCGAUAAGCCAUCCACCUGGGG
rnacentral:rRNA from 1 species